GACCUAUCAGCUUUCGACGGUAGUGUAUUGGACUACCGUGGCAGUGACGGGUAACGGGGAAUUAGGGUUCGAUUCCGGAGAGGGAGCCUGAGAAACGGCUACCACAUCUAAGGAAGGCAGCAGGCGCGCAAAUUACCCAAUCCUGACUCAGGGAGGUAGUGACAAGAAAUAACAACACUGGAAAUUUUAUUUCUAGUGAUUGGAAUGAUGGGAAUUUAAACCCCUUUCAGAGUAACAAUUGGAGGGCAAGUCUGGUGCCAGCAGCCGCGGUAAUUCCAGCUCCAAUAGCGUAUAUUAAAGUUGUUGCAGUUAAAAAGCUCGUAGUUGGAUGUCUGCUGGAAGCAAUCAGUCCGCCCUAUUUGUGGGGUGUGCACUUGAUGAAUUCUGGCAUUUUUGUCCCAAUAUUAUGAUGUAGAAUGUGGGACACAGAGUGUUAUUGGGCGAAAGUUCAAUAGCAUGUCUGUGUUCCGAUUCUUAUUAUAUUGGGAUACUGUUACUUUGAGAAAAUUAGAGUGUUUGAAGCAGGCUUUGAAUUGCCUUGAAUACUGCAGC
rnacentral:rRNA from 1 species